GCCGCUCCGCUUCGAGUUGGGAGUAGCGAAUGCCAUGGAGGAGGCGAGGAGGAGAGCUUUGGGGAGCUUCGGAGGGGCGAGACGGAGCCCUAGCUCUGAUCGAGGGGGCUCUUCUUCGACUUCUGGUUCUUCUUUGCCGCGCGAGCAAUGGGGACUGGAUCCGAUUGUGGAGAAGGAGCUCGACGCGGCGCAGGCUUUGGCCGAGAUGGCCAUUCAACAAGAGCAGGAGAAUAAGAGGAUUGAGGACCACGGCUCCCCUUCUACGUCUCGAGAGGAGAGCAUCAGAGAAGGGAAGGGUUGGGGAUUGAAGCAUGAACAAUUGGUUGAUGAUUAUCAAGAAGAUGGUGAAGCUGUCAAGGAUGCAAUGGAAGAAAAAAAAAGUGGGCAGGAGAUUUCUGAAUUGCCAAAAGCAGACAUCACCUGCUCCACUAGUCGCACUCCAUUCUCUAGUAGAGUGAAGCAAAAUUUGGCCGAGGCUGAGAAGGAAGCAAAGAGAAUGCGCAGGAUCCUAGCCAAUAGAGAGUCAGCUAGGCAGACAAUUCGUAGGCGACAGAUCAUUCGCGAGGAGUUGACCAAAAAGGUUGCUGAUUUGUCAUUGAAAAAUAAGAAUAUGAAGAUGGAAAAAGAGUUGGUCAUGAAAGAAUACCUUUCCCUGAAGGACACUAACAACCAACUAAAGGAACAGAUUUCUAAGGCAAUGAAUUGCGAGUUUGGGACAAGUGCAGAGGCGACGUCCAUGCAGGUGGAGAUAUCAGCAUCUUCAUCAACCAAUCUCCCACCAAUGAUAUAUGGCAAACUGCCUAUGGUGCCAUACGUUUGGCCUCCCUGGCUCAUUUCUACAAUCACUAGACCAUGCCAUGAGCAUGAUGGUGCUAGUGUAUUCAGUGGAGCAAGGCCACAUCUCUAUUUGCCUCCCUGUGCUUGGUUUUAUCCUUCUUCACAUGAGAUACCCGGAUCCCGUUCUCAACAUCCUCAUUCACCAAAAGAAAGACAUGAAGAUCCUGUCGCUAUAUGGCAUGAUUUAGGACAAUCGUACGGCGCACUGGACUAUGAAGAGAAAGCAAUGAUGCAUAACAGUAAGGAAACAGAUCUUUCUUUGCCGCAUACAAUUGUCACACAGGAGGAGGAAAAUGGUGCUACAAACAACCAGAGAUUACUAGCAACAGUUCCAACAGAGCAUCAGAUGUUAAGGCAUUGUCCAUAUAAACUAGGGCACAUGUCUUCUCAUUGUAGGACUUUACUUUCUUCAUCAGAUGUGAAAGGUGGGCCUGUGACAGAUCAUGAUGAUGGAACUUCACUUGAAAAAUCUGGAGGAGCUUGUUCUCACCCUAAUGAGCAGUUAUUGAUUGCAGCUGCAGCAGCCCAAGCCCGGAAGCGAAGAAGAGAACUCAUAAAGUUAAAACAACUCCAUGGAAGACAGGCUGGUCUGCACUCCUAAGCUCUGAAAUGAAUGUUAAUGUAUCUCAGCUCCUAUUAAUUACUAGUUUUGAUCCAGGUCAUGGUGGUGGCUGGAAUGUUUGUUUUCACUAUUUGUCGAGUGCAUCAUAGGAAGUGAACAGGAUGACUGACACGUCAUUCAAGUAUAGUGAGACCAACCGAUCCAGCCGGCUCUGUGAGCAGUAGAAUUUGUGUAGGACAUGCUUCUAAAUUGGCUGAAGAGUGAACCUAGACUGCACUCUUCAACCAAUUGCAGCCUCUCCUCCUUGCCAAAUAGAGCGGUUCGUGCUUGUAUAUGGAUUAACGCAGCAAAAUUCCUCACGGAUGCAUCUGCUGUUGGGAGUAUUGCUAUUCCAGCAAUCCUGAUGCAUAAUUGAGAUGGGAGACAUGUUCAUAGAGCUUGUCUCCUUGUUCAUUCUUGUUGGCACAGUUCUUUGGUUACAUUGAGUUAGCCUCGAUGAGGAUUGGCAAUAACCUGUCAGAGAGGAUCAAUCAAAGAAAUUAAGGGACAUGCAACUCAUGUACGGCUUAUGUACGGUUAUUACAUGCAUUUUUCUUCGCUGGAACAAGAUAAUCGUGUUGCACACUUUGAUGUUUGAUGUAUUUUUGACGAACGAACCUGCUCGUCAUGUAAGACCGGUAUUAGAUCAUAUAUUAUGAAGUGUCACAGCUUAGCAGACAAAUUACCACUCCAUUCCGUUAUUCCACUAACAUAAUUUGUGCUCUUGAUGGUAAGAGUUUGUAACUGAAUAUUUCAUUUAGUGGUGAUGAUCAGGUCUGGUGAAUUCUGAGGCAAGUCAAGAGGUGAGCUUUAGCAUGAUGGGAUGAUAGCUGGUGCCCUCUAAUCUGCAUUUACAUUGAUCCUAACAAGGUACCAUCAGGUGCUCUGUAUUUCACUCAACGAUUUAUUGCAAAAUUUGUCAUCUCGAUAUCAGAUUCUGUACUAUAAUAUCGAUACAUCCAAUGUGAAGACCGGUUUAAUAUACUGAG